rnacentral:tRNA from 1 species
CCGUAGUUUAACCGGUUAAAACGCCGGCCUGUCACGUCGGAGAGCGCGGGUUCGAGCCCUGCCGGA